UCGAGAAUUUUUCUCAAUGGGGGAAACCCUGAAGGAGCGACGCCGCGUGGAGGAUGAAGGUCUUCGGAUCGUAAACUCCUGUCAUCAGAGAACAAUGGACACACUAAUCCUGUGUCUUGAUAGUAUUUGAAGAGGAAGAGACGGCUAACUCUGUGCCAGCAGCCGCGGUAAUACAGAGGUCUCAAGCGUUGUUCGGAUUUAUUGGGCGUAAAGGGUGCGUAGGCGGCGGGGCAAGUGAGGUGUGAAAUCCCGGAGCUCAACUCUGGAACUGCACUUUAUACUACUCUGCUAGAGUCUUGGAGAGGAGACUGGAAUUUACGGUGUAGCAGUGAAAUGCGUAGAUAUCGUAAGGAAGACCAGUGGCGAAAGCGAGUCUCUGGACAAUGACUGACGCUGAGGCACGAAGGCCAGGGGAGCAAACGG
rnacentral:rRNA from 1 species